GCCGCUGUGGUGAAAUUGGCAGACACACGGGACUUAAAAUCCCGAGGUAGUGAUACCGUACGGGUUCGACCCCCGUCAGCGGCACCA
rnacentral:tRNA from 2 species